rnacentral:rRNA from 1 species
CCUACGGGUGACAGCAGUGAGGAAUAUUGGUCAAUGGGCGCGAGCCUGAACCAGCCAAGUAGCGUGAGGGAGGACUGCCCUACGGGUUGUAAACUUCUUUUAUAAAGGAAUAAAGUGAGGCACGUGUGCCUUUUUGUAUGUACUUUAUGAAUAAGGAUCGGCUAACUCCGUGCCAGCAGCCGCGGUAAUACGGAGGAUCCGAGCGUUAUCCGGAUUUAUUGGGUUUAAAGGGUGCGUAGGUGGGUUGUUAAGUCAGUUGUGAAAGGUUGCGGCUCAACCGUAAAAUUGCAAUUGAAACUGGCAGUCUUGAGUACAGGUGAGGUAGGCGGAAUUCGUGGUGUAGCGGUGAAAUGCUUAGAUAUCACGAAGAACUCCGAUUGCGAAGGCAGCUUACUAAACUGCCACUGACACUGAGGCUCGAAAGUGUGGGUAUCAAACAGGAUUAGAUACCCCUGUAGUC